rnacentral:rRNA from 2 species
AAAUUGAAGAGUUUGAUCAUGGCUCAGAUUGAACGCUGGCGGCAGGCCUAACACAUGCAAGUCGAACGGUAGCACAGAGAGCUUGCUCUCGGGUGACGAGUGGCGGACGGGUGAGUAAUGUCUGGGAAACUGCCUGAUGGAGGGGGAUAACUACUGGAAACGGUGGCUAAUACCGCAUAACGUCGCAAGACCAAAGAGGGGGACCUUCGGGCCUCUUGCCAUCAGAUGUGCCCAGAUGGGAUUAGCUUGUUGGUGAGGUAACGGCUCACCAAGGCGACGAUCCCUAGCUGGUCUGAGAGGAUGACCAGCCACACUGGAACUGAGACACGGUCCAGACUCCUACGGGAGGCAGCAGUGGGGAAUAUUGCACAAUGGGCGCAAGCCUGAUGCAGCCAUGCCGCGUGUAUGAAGAAGGCCUUCGGGUUGUAAAGUACUUUCAGCGGGGA